rnacentral:rRNA from 1 species
AGCGGCGGAUGGGUGAGUAACACGUGGGGAACCUGCCCCUAAGUCUGGGAUACCAUUUGGAAACAGGUGCUAAUACCGGAUAAUAAAGCAGAUCGCAUGAUCAGCUUUUGAAAGGCGGCGUAAGCUGUCGCUAAGGGAUGGCCCCGCGGUGCAUUAGCUAGUUGGUAAGGUAACGGCUUACCAAGGCGACGAUGCAUAGCCGAGUUGAGAGAUUGAUCGGCCACAUUGGGACUGAGACACGGCCCAAACUCCUAUGGGAGGCAGCAGUAGGGAAUCUUCCACAAUGGACGCAAGUCUGAUGGAGCAACGCCGCGUGAGUGAAGAAGGUUUUCGGAUCGUAAAGCUCUGUUGUUGGUGAAGAAGGAUAGAGGUAGUAACUGGCCUUUAAUUGACGGUAAUCAACCAGAAAGUCACGGCUAACUACGUGCCAGCAGCCGCGGUAAUACGUAGGUGGCAAGCGUUGUCCGGAUUUAUUGGGCGUAAAGCGAGCGCAGGCGGAAAAAUAAGUCUAAUGUGAAAGCCCUCGGCUUAACCGAGGAACUGCAUCGGAAACUGUUUUUCUUGAGUGCAGAAGAGGAGAGUGGAACUCCAUGUGUAGCGGUGGAAUGCGUAGAUAUAUGGAAGAACACCAGUGGCGAAGGCGGCUCUCUGGUCUGCAACUGACGCUGAGGCUCGAAAGCAUGGGUAGCGAACAGGAUUAGAUACCCUGGUAGUCCAUGCCGUAAACGAUGAGUGCUAAGUGU